rnacentral:rRNA from 1 species
UACGUAGGGGGCUAGCGUUGUCCGGAUUUAUUGGGCGUAAAGAGCGCGUAGGCGGCCAGGUAGGUCUGCUGUGAAAACUCGAGGCUCAACCUCGAGACGUCGGCGGAAACCAUCUGGCUAGAGUCCGGCAGAGGAGAGUGGAAUUCCUGGUGUAGCGGUGAAAUGCGCAGAUAUCAGGAGGAACACCGAUUGCGAAGGCAGCUCGCUGGGACGUUACUGACGCUGAGACGCGAAAGCGUGGGGAGCAAACAGG